rnacentral:tRNA from 1 species
GUGGCUAUGGUGUAAAGGCAGCACAAAGGACUGUGGCUCCUUUAGAACGGGUUCGAAUCCCGUUAGCCACCC